UAGGGAAUUUUCGGCAAUGGGGGGAACCCUGACCGAGCAACGCCGCGUGAACGAAGAAGUUAUUCGUAAUGUAAAGUUCUUUUAUUGGGGAAGAAAAGGCAAAAGAGAUUGACGGUACCCAAUGAAUAAGCUCCGGCUAACUACGUGCCAGCAGCCGCGGUAAUACGUAGGGAGCGAGCGUUAUCCGGAAUUAUUGGGCGUAAAGGGUGCGUAGAUGGCAUACCAAGUUUUUUGUAAAAAUGCUAAGCUCAACUUAGUAGGGCAAAGGAAACUGGUAAGCUAGAGUACAACAGAGGCAAGUGGAAUUCCAUGUGUAGCGGUAAAAUGCGUAAAUAUAUGGAGGAACACCGGUGGCGAAGGCGGCUUGCUGGGUUGAUACUGACAUUGAGGCACGAAAGCGUGGGGAGCAAACAGG
rnacentral:rRNA from 1 species